AGCACAAAUGAUGAGCCUAAGGGACUUAAUACUGAACUCUGAUGUUAAUAAAUAGUAAUGUAUGCUGAUUGUGC